UGUUAUUAAAGAAUUUCGAUAACCGAUGGGGAUGCGUUCCAUUAGGUUGUUGGCGGGGUAACGGCCCACCAAGACAUCGAUGGAUAGGGGUUCUGAGAGGAAGGUCCCCCACAUUGGAACUGAGACACGGUCCAAACUCCUACGGGAGGCAGCAGUGAGGAAUAUUGGUCAAUGGACGAAAGUCUGAACCAGCCAAGUAGCGUGAAGGAUGACUGCCCUAUGGGUUGUAAACUUCUUUUAUAUGGGAAUAAAGUGAGCCACGUGUGGCUUUUUGUAUGUACCAUACGAAUAAGGGUCGGCUAACUCCGUGCCAGCAGCCGCGGUAAUACGGAGGAUCCGAGCGUUAUCCGGAUUUAUUGGGUUUAAAGGGAGCGUAGGCGGACUAUUAAGUCAGCUGUGAAAGUUUGCGGCUCAACCGUAAAAUUGCAGUUGAUACUGGGCGUCUUGAGUGCAGUAGAGGUAGGCGGAAUUCGUGGUGUAGCGGUGAAAUGCUUAGAUAUCACGAAGAACUCCGAUUGCGAAGGCAGCUCACUGGACUGUAACUGACGCUGAUGCUCGAAAGUGUGGGUAUCAAACAGGAUUAGAUACCCUGGUAGUCCACACAGUAAACGAUGAAUACUCGCUGUUUGCGAUAUACGGCAAGCGGCCA
rnacentral:rRNA from 1 species